AAGAUUGGAAGGGAUUCAUAAUAGUGUCUUAAGCAUUAAAUCAAAGUAUCAAAUUAACCAAGCUGACAAAGCCUGAAAACAUCAAAGAAUAACAUCAGAACUCAUUUUUAGGAGUUUAAACUUAACCAAACAAGUAGGCAUACACAUAAAAAUUGCAAACAGCCAUUACAAAACUAAAUCACGUUCUUUUACCAAUCUCAGUAGCAGCAUUUUCAAACAAAUAGAGAAUCAAACAAUAAUAAUAACAACAGACCAAUUAAAACACGUCUCUAAUUAUAUAAAGAUCAAAACUAUUAGCUGAAAAUAAGAGGCGAAGAACUGGACCAGAAAUUGCUUUCUAUAUAUAUUCAAAUCUUCAAAAAUUACAGCGCAAUGAGAGCUUGAACUAAAAAUUGCAAACAACAGCAGCAAGAAUGAGGCAAGAACUGCGAGCUCGAAAUUAAACUUCGAUUUCAAAAGCUUUGUUCAGUCGAACAAUUUUUUUGAAAUUCCAAAUUUUAAAAUUUAACCAAAAAACGCAUCUUAGAUAACUUGCAAAGAUCGUUAUAUAGUGUAACCCUUUUGUAUUUACCAAAUCAUUUCCCCCUUUUUGUCUUCUUUCCCUGAUCCCUUCUGCAUCUGCAUUCUCAUAUGUGUAUGUAUAUAUGAGAGUCAAUGGCUGAAGCUUCUUUUGGAAUGGAAGGGAUGGCCACUCUUUCUUGAUCAAGGGAUGUUUUUUUGGUUAAAAAGAUGAUGGAAAAAAAGGCUGGAACUCCUCAGUGUUUUUUUGGUGUUAGGGAUCUGAUGAUUAGAGGUGAUGAAGAAAAUGGAGGAGAAGGGGAUUUCCGCUGUUCUUUUGCUAAUGGGAAAGGGG
rnacentral:lncRNA from 1 species